CGCCGAGCUGACAAGCUCCUUCGCCGGGCAUGCGCACGGCCCUCUUUGGUCGCCUUUGGAAACGACAAGGCAUCGACUCUUCGACCGCCUUGCUCCCGCGCACCAGGGCUUUCAUGGGGACCUGAGAGACCCAUCCGCCCAAAGACCGCCCGGCGGGGAGCAUCUCAUUCCGCCCAUACGAAACGGCUUGGGCCCCGUUUGGUUUGAUAGUACUGUCACGGACGAUGCUUGCAUCUUUCCCAUCCUCGUUGGGGCUUUCCCAACCUUAGGGUCAUUCAUAGGCAACAACUGGUUUCGCCGUGCCACGGCUCAUCAGGGGAACGGCAUCAGCUCCCAACCAGCGUGUCCCAACGGACAGGCGUUCCUCGUUCACUGAACGCGUUCCCUCCUUACGAGAAAGGCGAACCCAAGUUGUGCCAUUCCUUCAGAGCGCGCCAAGCAUCCGCCCAUGAGUCCACACGCGCACGUUCACGUUGGUCCUCGCCACGGCUUGCCCACGAUGGCAACGGGCGUGCGAGGGUGAAACGGGCACCGUGUGACAGUCUCCCCCACUUGAUUCGUGGACGUCCCCGGACACGACGUGCACCCGAUGGAGACCCGGUAUAGAGGACUCUUCCUCCUUCGCCGAGCUGACAAGCUCCUUCGCCGGGCAUGCGCACGGCCCUCUUUGGUCGCCUUUGGAAACGACAAGGCAUCGACUCUUCGACCGCCUUGCUCCCGCGCACCAGGGCUUUCAUGGGGACCUGAGAGACCCAUCCGCCCAAAGACCGCCCGGCGGGGAGCAUCUCAUUCCGCCCAUACGAAACGGCUUGCCCCGCCGGUUGGCUCUGAUACCAACUGUCACGGACGAUGCUUGCAUCUUUCCCA
rnacentral:lncRNA from 1 species